rnacentral:rRNA from 1 species
GACGAACGCUGGCGGCGUGCUUAACACAUGCAAGUCGAACGGAAAGGCCCUGCUUUUGUGGGGUGCUCGAGUGGCGAACGGGUGAGUAACACGUGAGUAACCUGCCCUUGACUUUGGGAUAACUUCAGGAAACUGGGGCUAAUACCGGAUAGGAGCUCCUGCUGCAUGGUGGGGGUUGGAAAGUUUCGGCGGUUGGGGAUGGACUCGCGGCUUAUCAGCUUGUUGGUGGGGUAGUGGCUUACCAAGGCUUUGACGCAUAGCCGGCAUGAGAGGGUGACCGGUCAGACUGGGAGUGAGACACGGGCGAGAGUCCGCAGGGGGGAAGAGGUGGGGAAUAUUGGGCAAUGGGCGGAAGAGUGAUCCAGCAAUGCCGCGUGAGUGAUGAAGGCCUUAGGGUUGUAAAGCUCUUUUACCAGGGAUGAUAAUGACAGUACCGGGAGAAGAAGCGCCGGCUAACUCCGUG